UGAGGAAUUUUCCGCAAUGGGCGCAAGCCUGACGGAGCAACGCCGCGUGCAGGAGGACGGCCUUCGGGUUGUAAACUGCUUUUCUGGGGGACGAGCAAGGACGGUACCCCAGGAAGAAGCCCCGGCUCACUACGUGCCAGCAGCCGCGGUAAUACGUAGGGGGCGAGCGUUGUCCGGAGUUACUGGGCGUAAAGCGUCCGCAGGCGGUUCGGCGCGUUUCCGGUGCCAGCCCAUGGCUUAACUGUGGGAGUGCCGGGAAGACGGUCGGACUCGAGGGCCUCAGAGGGACAUAGAAUUCCGGGUGGAGUGGUGAAAUGCGUAGAGAUCCGGAGGAAUACCAAUGGCGCAGGCAGUGUCCUGGGAGGCAGCUGACGCUGAGGGACGAAAGCCAGGGGAGCGAACGGGAUUAGAUACCCCCGUAGUCC
rnacentral:rRNA from 1 species